rnacentral:rRNA from 1 species
GACGAACGCUGGCGGCGUGCUUUAUACAUGCAAGUCGAACGAUGAAGUUCCUUCGGGAAUGGAUUAGUGGCGAACGGGUGAGGAACACGUGAGAAACCUGCCUUUCAUUCUGGGAUAACACCGGGAAACCGGUGCUAAUACCGGAUACUCCGUCUUGGCGGCAUCGCCGAGCCGGGAAAAAAUUUUGAUGAAAGAUGGUCUCGCGGCCUAUCAGCUAGUUGGUGAGGUAAUGGCUCACCAAGGCGACGACGGGUAGCCGGCCUGAGAGGGCGACCGGCCACACUGGGACUGAGACACGGCCCAGACUCCUACGGGAGGCAGCAGUAGGGAAUAUUGGGCAAUGGGCGCAAGCCUGACCCAGCGACGCCGCGUGAGGGAUGAAGGUCUUCGGAUUGUAAACCUCUUUCAGUAGGGAAGAAGCGAAAGUGACGGUACCUAAAGAAGAAGCACCGGCUAACUAUGUGCCAGCCGCCGCAGUAA